ACGUACACUCCUACGGGAGGCAGCAGUGGGGAAUAUUGGACAAUGGGCGCAAGCCUGAUCCAGCCAUGCCGCGUGAGUGAUGAAGGCCCUAGGGUUGUAAAGCUCUUUCACCGGUGAAGAUAAUGACGGUAACCGGAGAAGAAGCCCCGGCUAACUUCGUGCCAGCAGCCGCGGUAAUACGAAGGGGGCUAGCGUUGUUCGGAUUUACUGGGCGUAAAGCGCACGUAGGCGGACUAUUAAGUCAGGGGUGAAAUCCCGGGGCUCAACCCCGGAACUGCCUUUGAUACUGGUAGUCUUGAGUUCGAGAGAGGUGAGUGGAAUUCCGAGUGUAGAGGUGAAAUUCGUAGAUAUUCGGAGGAACACCAGUGGCGAAGGCGGCUCACUGGCUCGAUACUGACGCUGAGGUGCGAAAGCGUGGGGAGCAAACAGGAUUAGAUACCCCAGUAGUCC
rnacentral:rRNA from 1 species